GAAAAGACAAAUUGAUAGAACAGAAAGUAGACUGGUGAUUGCCUGGGGCUGAGAGUGCUGAGGAGGAGACAUGAGGAACGCUUCUGGGAUGCUGCCUCUCAGACGGUUCCAAAAUCAGCCAAGGAAGGAGAGACGUCAUCCUGUCUCUGCUCCUCACAAAACAGCCUGUGCAUGUGUGGCCGAGACUGCCCUUGUCCUCACUGCCCGUCGUUGGAGUGAAGAUGGGAAGAACCCUGGAUUGGCUGGAGCCUUCAAACAAGGCACCUUCCAAGGUUAAUUACUUAGAAGAUACUUUUCAGGGGGUUGCUGAGCACACAGACUCAACUCAUGGGGAAUGAAAUCCUGGUGGUUCCACUAAUGGUAAUAAAACACCAGUAAAGGGGCUGGCCCCGUGGCCGAGUGGUUAAGUUUGCGCGCUCCGCUGCAGGCGGCCCAGUGUUUCGCUGGUUCGAAUCCUGGGUGCGGACAUGGCACUGCUCAUCAAACCACGCUGAGGCACCGUCCACAUGCCACAACUAGAAGGACCCACAAUGAAGAAUAUACAACUAUGUACUGGAGGGGCUUUGGGGAGAAAAAGGAAAAAAUAAGGUCUUUGAAAAAAAAGAACAAAACACCAGUAAAGACACAUACGUGGUUUAUAACCCUGAUCGACCAGAUCAGUCUAUUCCAAUACAGAGCAAUGCGUUGUAUAAUCUUGGCCAAGUGAGACAUCAUUUUCAGAGACAAAAACCAAGUUCUGAUGACAAACUUAAACCUAGAGAAAGGAGUGGACUUAAAAAGUCUCAGUAACCUAACAACUAAGUUUUACAACAAGAAAAAGAGGCUCAGCUCAUAGCUAUUGGCUUGGGGUUGAAUCACUUGGGGAGAAAAUACUGAGAUUGUGCCCCAACCAAGAAAUGGUCAAAAAUCGAG
rnacentral:lncRNA from 1 species